rnacentral:rRNA from 1 species
UACAGAGGAUGCAAGCGUUAUCCGGAAUGAUUGGGCGUAAAGCGUCUGUAGGUGGCUUUUUUAAGUCCGCCGUCAAAUCCCAGGGCUCAACUCUGGACAGGCGGUGGAAACUACCAAGUCUUGAGUACGGUAGGGGCAGAGGGAAUUUCCGGUGGAGCGGUGAAAUGCGUAGAGAUCGGAAAGAACACCAACGGCGAAAGCACUCUGCUGGGCCGACACUGACACUGAGAGACGAAAGCUAGGGGAGCGAAUGGG